rnacentral:pre_miRNA from 1 species
CAAGUACUCCCUCCGUACGGAAUUACUUGUCAUCAAAAUGGAUGUGUCUAGAACUAAAAUACAUCUAGAUACAUCCAUUUCAAUGACAAGUAUUUUCGGACGGAGGGAGUGCAAG